UUGGUGUAACAAACUUUCUUAUUUCUGAUAAGCGUAAACAGAGUACAUGGUGAAGUUUAUAUAGUAGUUAUCCGGUUUACAUUGUAACUAUACCGAAUAACUAAACCACAUUAAACCAAUAUGUAUUUAAUACUUAUACUCUAAUAGUGGUGAAGAUCAUCAGUCCCGCUGGUGUCAAGGUACGGUGUCUCCGGCUCGUAUGUCUCCUUUUCCUCUCGGCUCACGUUCUCCACAUACAAACCAUAUAUGCAGCCUCAACGCCGUGGACGGGAUGGCACAGAAUGAGGCAUGUGAUGGCAGGGGCUGAUACUCCCGUGGUGAUGACUCGUCGUGGUUAGUGAUAAACGGCGGCGGAUCCACACUUUCCCACGAGACACCAAGACAAAGUGGAGCAAGACGGGUUGGAGGAGGAGAGAAACGAUGGAAAGAGAGAGAUGCAUGUGGAGGUGGACCAGGUGGUGCUAUGGAGGUGAUGGCUCCUCACUCACACGCUUUCAACAUUGGCGGCUUGCCACAUGGAAGAAGUUCUCUCCAUUAUAUAAUUAGGUUUAUGUGUAUACAAACACACGACUUGAAAAAAAACGAUAAGGCUUUGUUUGAUACUAUAUUAAAACAAACAAAAAAG
rnacentral:lncRNA from 1 species